ACGAACGCUGGCGGCGUGCCUAACACAUGCAAGUCGAACGAGGCCCAUGCAGUGGCAACACUGCGGAAGGCCUAGUGGCGAACGGGUGAGUAACACGUGAGGAACUUGCCCCGGAGACCGGGAUAACUCUCCGAAAGGAGAGCUAAUACCGGAUGUCCUCAUCGAGUCGCAUGGCUUGAUGAGGAAAUGGAUUCCGCUCCGGGAGAGCCUCGCGGCCUAUCAGCUAGUUGGUGGGGUAACGGCCCACCAAGGCAUCGACGGGUAGCUGGUCUGAGAGGACGAUCAGCCACACUGGGACUGAGACACGGCCCAGACUCCUACGGGAGGCAGCAGUGGGGAAUCUUGCGCAAUGGGCGAAAGCCUGACGCAGCAACGCCGCGUGCGGGAUGACGGCCCUCGGGUUGUAAACCGCUUUCAGUGGGGACGAACCAAGACGGUACCCACAGAAGAAGCCCCGGCCAACUACGU
rnacentral:rRNA from 1 species